rnacentral:misc_RNA from 1 species
UCCGGUUUGACACCGGCAGUCUCGUUAAAGUGCUGGCUUGCGCCGUGGCAACUAACGACAGGGGUUUCGCUCGUUAAGGGACUUAACCCGACACUUCACAGCACGAGCUGACGACAGCCAUGCAGCACCUGUGCACGUUUCACUCGUGAGAGCAGCUUACUCGGCUUUCACCGAGGGCAUCCGUGCAUGUCAAGCCUUGGAUAAGGUUCUUCGCGUUGCUUCGAAUUAAGCCACAUGCUCCACCGCUUGUGUGAGCCCCCGUCAAUUCCUUUGAGUUUUAGCCUUGCGACCGUACUCCCCAGGCGGUGCACUUAACACUUUAGCUUCGACCAUGAGGGCGUCAGAGCCUCCACGAUCUAGUGCACAUCGUUUAGGGCGUGGACUA